CCUACGGGGGGCUGCAGUGGGGAAUAUUGGACAAUGGGGGGAACCCUGAUCCAGCCAUGCCGCGUGUGUGAAGAAGGCCCUCGGGUUGUAAAGCACUUUCAGUGAGGAAGAACGCCUGGUGGUUAAUACCCAUCAGGAAAGACAUCACUCACAGAAGAAGCACCGGCUAACUCCGUGCCAGCAGCCGCGGUAAUACGGAGGGUGCGAGCGUUAAUCGGAAUUACUGGGCGUAAAGCGCGCGUAGGUGGCUUGAUAAGCCGGUUGUGAAAGCCCCGGGCUCAACCUGGGAACGGCAUCCGGAACUGUCAAGCUAGAGUGCAGGAGAGGAAGGUAGAAUUCCCGGUGUAGCGGUGAAAUGCGAAGAGAUCGGGAGGAAUACCAGUGGCGAAGGCGGCCUUCUGGACUGACACUGACACUGAGGUGCGAAAGCGUGGGUAGCAAACAGGAUUAGAUACCCUGGUAGUC
rnacentral:rRNA from 1 species